AGCUUUGCUCAGUGGCUAUAUUGUAGUCAAUGAAGUUUAUCUAAGACGUGAUUAUUGCUAAUUGUAAUCUUUUCCAAAUAACCUUGCCAGGGCGACUUCCAAUAUUAAGGCGGCUGAAUUCCACAUGUCUGACUCUGUGG
ensembl:snRNA U4 U4 spliceosomal RNA